UUAAAAAUAAGCUAAAUAAAGCUUUUGGGUUCAUACCUCAAAUAUAAAGAAAAUCCUUUUUUUUAAA
rnacentral:tRNA from 2 species